AGAACUGGCCCCUGGGAUUUGCUGCUCAGAACCUGAGUUCACUGAGACAUCAGGAGCAAGCACUGGAGGCCGGGUGCUGCUGGACCCAGAUGGGAGCCAUGCAGGACUUGACCAUGGCCUGCACACACUUCUUCCCAGGAGAAGGGGAAUGAGGAAGGCAGACUGGCAUCACAGGACCCUUCAGAGUAUUAAUGCAGACCUUCGUGACAGAGGUCCAGUACCAAGUGCUCAGCGGUGCUAAGGUCCAGGGACAGGAGGCAGAAGGGCGGGUUCCAGCCCGCUCAGCUGGCCAUGGUAAAAUACUAGCUGGUGUCCUAGGGCAGCAAGGCGCCUCCCUCUCCAGGUUAUGAAAACAUUGCAGUCUGAGUUUCUGUUGGGACCUGAGAAGAAGUCAAGGAAGCCCUGCAAGGCACUCACAGCUGCUCCUGCUGUCUGUAAUCGGCCGCCAUCUUCCUUCAUUCUCUGGUGACUGAGGUCCAGGAACAGGAAGCAGAGGGGCAGGUUCCACCCCGCUCAGCUGGCCAUGGUAAUCUAUCUACUAGCUGGUGUCCUACUCUCCAGCUUCUGAAGAGAAAACACUGCAGUUGCAGUUUCUGUUGGGGCCUGAGAAGAAGUCAAGGAAGCCCUGCAAGGCACUCACAGCUGCUCCUGCUGUCUAAUUGGUCACUAUCUUCCGCCAUUGCUAGGAAUCAUGAGCAGGAGGAGAGUGGCGCUGUGAGUUUUGAAACCGUGUCCUCAUGGUGGCAGUAGAGCUCCAAACAAGAGCUUAACCGGCCCCUGGGAUUUGCUGCUCAGGACCCGAGUUCAGUGAGACAUCAGGAGCAAGCACUGGAGGCCGGUGCUGCUGGACCCAGAUGGGAGCCAUGCAGGACUUGACCAUGGCCUGCACACACUUCUUCCCAGGAGAAGGGGAAUGAGGAAGAACUGGACCAGAAGAUUUAACUUCCAUACCACAAGCACUGGGGUAGAAGACUGCUGCUGGGUGAAGAAGAGACUAGACUUGAUCAUUGAGCAGCCACUCACUGAUAUCUUCAGUGCUGCAUGAGGAAGGACUGGCCCCUGGGAUUUUCUGCUCAGGACCCGAGUUCACUGAGACAUCAGGAGCAAGCACUGGAGGCCGGUGCUGCUGGACCCAGAUGGGCGCCAUGCAGGACUUGACCAUGGCCUGCACACACUUCUUCCCAGGAGAAGGGGAAUGAGGAAAGUGGGGGGCCUCAAAGCUUCCUUUCCUUUCUGUUUGUCUUGCUAUGUUUUUAUAUUCCUUUUUAUCCAUUUAAUUAUUUAGUACAAAAUCAGGUCCAGUCUCCUUAGAUAUGGCAUUGAUAUAAAGUGUAAAAUGGAAGCUAAAUUCUAGGAGUACAGCAUUGCAUGCUUCUGACAGAGACAAGGAAGGCUAGAAUCACACAGUUAGUGGACACUGCAACUAUAUUGACAUUUUUUUUUUUUUAGACUGUGAAGGUGGGGACAGAUUGCUGCACUCAGAACACCUUCCCUGCUCUGGGGAAACAAACACUGUCAUCAUGGGGAAAAUGUUUCCUGUAGACCCACACAAGCACACACCCCUCCUCCUACAUCCAGCUUCUCCUCAGCCAUUUUGAAGCAGGGAAGAUCAGGGGGAUUCAUGAAUGGCGAAAUUUGGCCUUUUUUAGUGUAUUUCUCUCCUUCUGUAGGCAGACUGGCAUCACCUGACCCUUCAGAGUAUUAACUCAGACCCUGGUGACUGAGGUCCAGUACCAAGUGCUCAGCUGGGCUGCGGUGCAGGGACAGGAAGCAGAAGGGCAGAUUCAACCCCCCUCAGCUGGCCAUGCUAAUCUACUAGCUGGUGUCCUAGGGCAGCAAGGCGCCUCCCUCUCCAGGAUCUGAUGAGAAAACACUGCAGUUCCAGUUUCUUUCGGGGCUUGAAGAGAAGUCAAGGAAGCCCUGCAAGGCACUCACAGCUGAUCAUGCUUUCUGUAAUCGCCCUCCAUCUUCCUUCAUUGCUAGGAAUCAUUGGAAGGACAACAGCGGAGCUGUGAGUUUUGAAACCGCGUCCUCAUGGGGGCAGUAGAGGUCCACACAAGAGCUUAACUGGCCCCUGGGAUUUGCUGCUCAGAACCUGAGUUCACUGAGACAUCAGGAGCAAGUACUGGAGGCCGGUGCUGCUGGACCCAGAUGGGAGCCAUGCGGGACUUGACCAUGGCCUGCACACACUUCUUCCCAGGAGAAGGGGAGUGAGGAAGAACCGGCCCCUGGGAUUUGCUGCUCAGGACCCGAGUUCACUGAGACAUCAGGAGCAAGCACUGGAGGCCGGGUGCUGCUGGACCCAGAUGGGAGCCAUGCAGGACUUGACCAUGGCCUGCACACACUUCUUCCCAGGAGAAGGGGAAUGAGGAAGGUGGGGGCCUCAAGGCUUCCUUUCCUCUCUUUUUGGCUUGUUAUGCUUUUAUAUUUCUUUUUAUCCAUAUGAUUAUUUAGUACAAAAGCAGGUCCAGCCUCCUUACAUAUGGCAUUGAUAUAAAAUGCAAAACAGAAGCUAAAUUCUAGGAAUACAGCAUUGCAAGCUUCUGACACAGACAAGGAAGGCUAGAACUGCACAGUUAGUGGACACUACCUCUGUAUUGACAUUUUUUUCAGUCUGUGAAGGCGGGGACAGAGAGCUGCAGCCAGGACACCUUCCCUGCUCUGGGGCAACACUGCCAUCAUGGGAAAAUGUUUUCUGUAGACCAGCUGAGGCACACACCCCUCCUCCAUCCUGCUUCUCCUCAGCCAUUUUGAAGCAGGGAGGAUGAGGGGGAUUCAUGAAUGGCGAAGCUUGCCCAUUUUACUGUAUUUCUCUCCUACUGUGGGCAGACUGGCAUCACCCGACCCUUCAGAGUAUUAAUGCAGACCUUCGUGACAGAGGUCCAGUACCAAGUGCGCAGCUGUGCUGAGGUCCAGGGACAGAAAGCAGAUGGGCAGAUUCAACCCCCCUCAGCUGGCCAUGCUAAUCUACUAGCUGGUGUCCUAGGGCAGCAGGGUGCCUCCCUCUCCAGGUUCUGAUGAGAAAACACUGCAGUCCCAGUUUCUUUCGGGGCUUGAAGAGAAGUCAAGGAAGCCCUGCAAGGCACUCACAGCUGAUCAUGCUGUCUGUAAUUGGCUGCCAUCUUCUGCCAUUGCUAGGAAUCAUGGGAAGGAGGACAUGUGGUGCUGUGACUUCUGAAACUAUUUUCCUCAUGAUGGCAGUUGUGCUCCACAAAAGAUCUUUUGAUUGUUUCCCCCCCCUCCCCGCUUCCUGUGUGAAAAAUUAUCAAGGAGAAUAUAGGUACCAAGGAAGAUUGGUUCGGUGAACUUUGCCUGUCCUCGAAUCGGUUCAGGGAUGGUUUGUUUUGUUUUUUGUUUUUGUUUUUUUGUUUUCUUGUUUUCCUUCUGAAGUCAUUCUGAGUCCUCAUUCUACCCUAGGUUGUAGGCCAUUUCCUUUUCUACAGCUGUUCAUACUCACCCUUUUUAGCUACUUAAUUUUGCUCUUGAUUGUCUAGUCUUAUUCAUUGGUUACAAUUUUCACACAGGAAAGGUAGUCUAGGAGCUUCGAAAGGAAAGCUUUUUUCAUGCAGGGUGAUUGGUAUUGCUGAGGGCUAACAACCCUUGCCUACCGUAUCCUAGAGCCUGGGUUUGCUCCCCAGGACUGAAAUGGGCACUGUUUGUCAUACAUAAUUAUGCAGCAGGGAAAUUCUCAGUGGUAAUAUUGUAAAACCAACCAAACAAAAAAACCCCCAAAACCAGUCAUGGCAGUAAGCUGUGAUCAGGAUGGAAUUGUAGAAAAGCAUUCAUGGGCUUCUCUCCUUCCUUUUAGUGUUGCCCCCUCCUCUCUGUCACUAAACCCCACUCCAUGUUCCUAGUGUCCCUCUUUUCUCCUCUCCUUCUAUGUACACCCAAAGGCAGAAAUACAGUUCUACAUUGGCUAGCCUAUAUGUCCUUUAAAAGUGUUCUCUCUCAUGAACAAUCUCUGCUUUAUUUCAUUUCCAAUUAAAUGCACACAUAUACCAAGCUGUUAAUGGUGCUUGCUUUGGGUAAUGAUAUUUACAAUAAAGUUUUCAUUUGUUCAUCCUUGAUGUGAAGAUUGGAAAGGUAAUUGAAGAAGCUGAGCUUUGUGGUUUUCGUGAUCCAUCCCUGUAACCCCAGCACUCAGUGUAGGAUCACGGUAGCCCCGAGGCCUCGAACAACCUGGCCAGCCUACACAUUGGCCUCUGAUGGUUUUUUAUUUUAUUCAUUCGCAGAAAGGCUCAUGGCGUCUAUGUCGUAAAUGAGCUGUGGAUUUGCUAUGCCCCUUCUCUUCAGCAACCCUUAUUUUUCUUGCCUGUACAUCUCUACUGUGGGAAUCACAGGGAAGCUGCUGCAGCACAACUUGAAAUAGAAAGCUGGAUGGUAUGAAUUUAGGACAAGAACAUGAGAAGAAGGGCUCCAGAGAGGAUUCAUUAAGAGCAUUUUCUGCUCUUCCAGAAGCAUCCGAGUUUGGUGUGGGCACCCAAGUCAUUAGGCUCAGAGCUGCUUGGCACCAGGAGAUGUCAGGAAGCUGGUAUAAAUCCUCAUGGGACUUGAAGGGCGAGUGGCCUGAAGUGGGUCACAAGUGAUCAGGGAUUCUCAAACUGCUGUUCCCAGCUUGCAUUUAAAAAUGGGAAAUAACUCAAAAGACAAUUGCAAACUCUCUGCAGUCAAGAUGGCUCCUGCUUGUAAUCUCAGUGUUCAGAAGGUAGGAAAGGACUACUGUGAGCACCAGGUCAGCCUGGACUAGAGAGAAGACUUUGUGUCAAAGAACGAAGUUUUAUAAAGGGCAGUCUUGUGGGGUAGAGGCAUGGCAGUAUACGAAGCACGUGUGCGUGUUUCUGUGUGUUUCUUGCUCUUGUCCAUGCUAGAAGCAGAACUUCAUUGUACCGUCACUGCUCCCACAGUACUAUACCUGCUGGAUCCAGAACUGCGGCAGGGUAAGACCAGCCAGGACAAGCCAGUGCCAGGUGGCACAGGUGUUUGGAAAAGGCCUGACGUGUACCCAACUGUGUGAAGGAAUGGGGGACCCAAAACACAGGGCAAAGAAUUAUGCUUCCAUCCACG
rnacentral:lncRNA from 1 species